rnacentral:rRNA from 1 species
UGGGGAAUAUUGGGCAAUGGGGGAAACCCUGACCCAGCGACGCCGCGUGGGUGAUGAAGGCCUUCGGGUCGUAAAGCCCUGUCUGGAGGAACGAAGAAUCUUGCGGCGAACAGCCGCGAGACCUGACGGUACCUCCGAAGGAAGCACCGGCCAACUCCGUGCCAGCAGCCGCGGUAAGACGGAGGGUGCAAGCGUUGCUCGGAAUUACUGGGCGUAAAGGGUGCGUAGGCGGCCUCUUAAGUCUGACGUGAAAGCCCAAGGCUCAGCUUUGGAAGUGCGCCAGAAACUGAGAGGCUCGAGUGCCGGAGGGGAGAGUGGAAUUCCCGGUGUAGCGGUGAAAUGCGUAGAUAUCGGGAGGAAUACCGGUGGCGAAAGCGACUCUCUGGACGGUCACUGACGCUGAGGCACGAAAGCGUGGGGAGCAAACAGG